GUGCGAGUCGCAUCAAUAUGUUUUGAGAGGAGGCGACAGGACACCAAGAAGGAGCAAGUCAGACAAAAGUGGUUCAAAAGAAGCAGAGAAGUAACCCAAGGGGGAGGAGAGUGCAUCUUCACAGGAACUGCUGUCAUAAAGCUCUUUUAUAUGAAUGGGUUGUAUGAGAAGUGCCAGGGCUUUGUUACCAAGGCUCACACUAAAUGUGUCCUGGCCACACAAACGAGUAUCAUACAACAUGGCAGCCAAGAGAACACCACUGUGGAAGCAUAUCUUUCAGACCCAGCGGGAAGUCUCCAAACUAAAAGGUAGAAAUUGAACUGAAAAGGUUGAAAGGUAGAACGAUUAAAGUGACGUUUUAAUUGCUUACAUCAAAUGAAGAGUUGAUUGCAAACAUAAAUGGGGCUUGUUCAGUGAAUAUCUGGUCUUUGUCUUGUAAAAAUAAAUGUUUACAACUAUAUGAUCCUGGUUAGAUAUGCAGACAAACUUUUCUUUGAUGAAUGGAAAUUGUCAGAUGUUUUACCCUGCUGCGGUCUAGAGAAGACAUGAAUGAUGCUUUGAAACUAAUGAGCUCGACUUUUCCUCUUUCAGCUUCUCUCGAAUAUCGCCCCAUCCAUCUGCUGUCCCAGCACCAGCCCAAGGAGGACUGGUUCCCCCAAAAGCCUGGGUCCUCCCAAGGUUUCUUCCAGCUUCUGGGAGUUUUACCUUGCCACUGUCGCCGAUGGCUUGCUUCUGGGGGCAUGAGGACAGUGUUCAUUUCUAUUUUAUACAUAAUAAAAAAAAUGGAAAAAAAAACCAUACAAGAACUUUUAACAUAUCAGCUGUUCUAUAUUACAUUUGUCAAUGAGGUGAACACAAACUAAUGUAUAUUUAUAUUUAUAUUUAUAUUUACAUUUACGCAUUGAUCAGAUGCUUUUAUCCAAAGUGACUUGCGGUACAGUAGGGGAGAGUGGGGUAAGAUGAGCCAGUGAGUACGUUGACCCACCUCCUGUAUCUGGGCAACCACACACAUCUUUGUCUGUCAUGUGACCCUACAUUUAGUUUGCGCUUUUUGUGGGAGAAAGAAUCAUUCAAAUCUGGGAAGUACAACACUUUUUCUCAGACAGCUAACAUGGGGUAAAUUGAGACCAUUUCUGGGGGGAUUUUUCAAAACUGUAUCUCAAAUAGGUAAAAUGAGAAUAAAUAACAUCAUAACUUAUCAUGAACAAUCAAUUAAUCAUGAUAAAUACAAAGACUUUACACCGUAUUUUUUUCUUUGAGAUAUUAUACAC